rnacentral:lncRNA from 1 species
CUACAGUGUUCUCUCAAGAGUCCUUUUACUCUCUUUGGUGUCAAUUUUCUUCUUUUAAAGAUCCAGGAACACUUUUCCAAAGAAAUCACUGGCAGGCAAAUCCUUGUCUGCAGAUCUAGACUGGAAGAAUAAGGGACCAAGGAUCAUCUCAGCAGAAGGAACAGCCUGCUCACAGGCUGGGAGGAAUGAGAGUGAGCACAGCUACACUGGCCUCUGAAUACCGGGCCAAGACAUGGGGAGUGUGUUUUGCAGACAGGGA